rnacentral:rRNA from 2 species
AGAUUAAGUUAUUAAGGGCGCACGGUGGAUGCCUUGGCACUAGAAGCCGACGAAGGACGUUACUAACGACGAUAUGCUUUGGGUAGCUGUAA